rnacentral:rRNA from 1 species
UACGUAGGGAGCAAGCGUUGUCCGGAAUCAUUGGGCGUAAAGCGCGCGUAGGUGGCCUCAUAAGUCCGCUGUGAAAGUCAAAGGCUCAACCUUUGAAAGCCGGUGGAUACUGUGAGGCUAGAGUACGGAAGAGGCGAGUGGAAUUCCUGGUGUAGCGGUGGAAUGCGCAGAUAUCAGGAGGAACACCGAUGGCGAAGGCAGGUCUCUGGGCCACUACUGACGCUGAGAAGCGAAAGCAUGGGGAGCGAACAGG